GUGAGCUGUGUGUCGAGCACCUUCCCCAUCUUCUCCCCCACCCCUUCUUCCUUCCAGGCGGCUGCAUGAGGGCGAGGUCGCCAGAUCCGACCCUCCCUGGCCGCCGGUGCCGCUCCUCCCCAUCCCGAGGCCACCGCCGAGCCGCCUCACCCCAGGCCCCUGCUGCGCCGCCCCUCUGCAAGCCGCUGCAGCCCCAGCCCGUGCGAGGCCCCCGCCGCGCCGCCCCUCUACAAGUCGCCCGUGCACCACCUCUCCCGAGGCCCCCACCAACAAAACCUCGUGCGCCUCCCACCGCUCCCCCCUGCCAGCUCCGUCCGACCCGGUGCUGCUCGGCCGCUCUCAGCCAUCGGCGGCGAGCCUUGGCAACCGGAUCCAGGGACACUUCCAGCGGGCCACCGGCCUCGAGCAACCACUUCCCGUCCCGCAGCUAGCGCCACCAACUAGCGAGGAUGCGGCAGCAACAGCUCCCUGCUCACGUGGCGGAUCUGUCCCCGUGCACUCCUCUGGUUCCACCCACUAGAGCAGAGCAUGGCAGCAAGCCUUCCCAUGGUUGCACCUCCGCCUCCCAUCAGAGUCUGCAUAUGCUUAUGCAGCUCACCUUCACUUUGUCUGCAGCUCUCUGUAGCCUCUCAUGGUGUUCACGUCUGUUGCUUCUAAUCUGCAUGGCGAUCGGCGUAGAAGCCACAGGCAUGGAAGAAGGCCAGCGCCGGCAGCUGCUCCUCACCCUGCUCCGCUCCCGUGCAGUGUGGAGCCCGUGUGUGUCUUGCCUGCCUGCCCCAUCCCAACCGAGAGACCCCCACUUUUCGGUGAGAUCCGGCGACGAGGACCUGCUCCACCGCGGCGCUCGCCUGCCCCUCUCCUCAACUCCUCGUCCUGGCCUCAUCUCCGGCCCGGUCAGGGCUCACCUCACCUACCCCCACGAGGUCUAGUCCCAGCUCCGCCAUAGCCCGCCUUGCCGGUCUAGAGAUUCUCCUCGGUGCACCGAGUUCCCCUGCUUCUUCUCCUCACCAACGAACAACCAACCAUGCCAACAUUUGAGAAAAGAUGGGUGAUGGAGUGCGCUUCACGAGGUUGGUCGUAUCCCUCCUGCCAGGUCGUGCAGUUCCUUGGCUCGCGACAUGCGGUCCGGUAGCAUGGGCUUUCUGUUCACGGGCACGCCGGUUUCCACCAUGCAGUUCGCUAGCUGGUUGGGCGUGGUUUCGGUAUCGCGGCAAUGCAGUUUGAUUGAGUGCUUCCGGUGUACACUUCAAAUUAGUUUUUUUGUAUGUUCAGAUUUACAUUGCAAUGUGGUGAAGUCCCGGCUGGGUGGUGCUACAAUGCAGUUUGUGUGUGCCGCUCUCAGUCUUUGCUGUUGUUUUCUUGGUGGUGCUCGAGUGCUAAUUCUGCUAUGUAUGGUUGUAUGCUGGUGGUUUGUGCUACAACGACGUGCAGUUCGCCAGGC